rnacentral:rRNA from 1 species
GACGAACGCUGGCGGCGUGCUUAACACAUGCAAGUCGAACGGAAAGGCCCUGCUUUUUUGGGGUUCUCGAUUGCCGAACGGGUGAGUAACACGUGUGUAACCUGCCCUUGUCUUUGGUAUAACUUCAGGAAACUGGAGCUAAUACCGUAUAGGAUCUCCUGCUGCAUGGUGGGCGUUGGAAAGUUUCGGCGGUUGGGGCUGGACUCGCGGCUUAUCAGCUUGUUGGUGGGGUAGUGGCUUACCAAGGCUUUGGCGGGUAGCCGGCCUGAGAGGGUGGCCGGCGACAAGGGGACUGAGAGACGGAGCAGACUCCUACGUGAGGCAGCAGUCGGAAAUAUUGCACAAUGAGCGGAAGCGUGUUGCAGAAGCGCCCGGUGCGGGAUGCCGGCCUGCGGGGUAUAAACAGCUUUAGGCUGAGACGAAGCGUGAGUGACGGUACUGAGUAAAGAAGCACCGGCUAACUACGUG